rnacentral:rRNA from 1 species
UCGGGAAUUUUGGGCAAUGGGCGAAAGCCUGACCCAGCAACGCCGCGUGAAGGAUGAAGUAUUUCGGUAUGUAAACUUCGAAAGAAUAGGAAGAAUAAAUGACGGUACUAUUUAUAAGGUCCGGCUAACUACGUGCCAGCAGCCGCGGUAAUACGUAGGGACCAAGCGUUGUUCGGAUUUACUGGGCGUAAAGGGCGCGUAGGCGGCAAUUCAAGUCAUCUGUGAAAUCUCCGGGCUUAACUCGGAACGGUCAGAUGAUACUGCUUUGCUAGAGUGCAGAAGGGGCAAUCGGAAUUCUUGGUGUAGCGGUGAAAUGCGUAGAUAUCAAGAGGAACACCUGAGGUGAAGACGGGUUGCUGGGCUGACACUGACGCUGAGGCGCGAAAGCCAGGGGAGCAAACGGGAUUAGAUACCCCUGUAGUCCCUGAGCGGGCUGGCAAGGCG